GUUCCCAGUUCAGCAGCACCUAUGCUAAGAUUGAAAAGAUACAGGGAAGAUUAGCAAAGGCCCCUGCGGAAGGAUGGCACAUAGAUUCACGAAGCGAGCCAUUAAAAA